rnacentral:tRNA from 1 species
UGGGAAGUAGCUCAGUUGCAUAGUGCCUACCUAGAAUGCAGGAGGCCCUGGGUUCCAGCCCCAGUACCUCAA